rnacentral:rRNA from 1 species
CCUACGGGUGGCAGCAGUGGGGAAUAUUGCACAAUGGGCGCAAGCCUGAUGCAGCCAUGCCGCGUGUGUGAAGAAGGCCUUCGGGUUGUAAAGCACUUUCAGCGGGGAGGAAGGCGUUGAGGUUAAUAACCUUAUCGAUUGACGUUACCCGCAGAAGAAGCACCGGCUAACUCCGUGCCAGCAGCCGCGGUAAUACGGAGGGUGCAAGCGUUAAUCGGAAUUACUGGGCGUAAAGCGCACGCAGGCGGUCUGUCAAGUCGGAUGUGAAAUCCCCGGGCUCAACCUGGGAACUGCAUUCGAAACUGGCAGGCUAGAGUCUUGUAGAGGGGGGUAGAAUUCCAGGUGUAGCGGUGAAAUGCGUAGAGAUCUGGAGGAAUACCGGUGGCGAAGGCGGCCCCCUGGACAAAGACUGACGCUCAGGUGCGAAAGCGUGGGGAGCAAACAGGAUUAGAUACCCCGGUAGUC